ensembl:lncRNA
GUUGAAAGGAGAUCGGGAGGCCAGUGAGCCUGGGAAGGGUUCCAGGCAGUGGGGGGCCGGGAUCACCCACAGCCCCUCCCACAGCUCACUCUCCCAGCCUGGGCUGCCCCUCCCUCCCCCUGGCUGGCUCCCCUUUGGCCCAGCGUCUGCUCUGUGCUGGUGCGGGGACAGAGGAGACCCACAGGAGUGGGGAGGGAUGGUUUGAUGUUCAAAGCUCAGGCUGUGGCCUUUUAAUCUUGAUUGUUCUGGGCCCCUCUUGCAGCCUUGGAUCUCCCUCUGCCUCUGUCGCCUCCAGGUUUGUCCCAGCCUCACCCCUGCCAGUGCCUGGGCUGCCUCUCACCCUGCAGGCAGGGCUGGGCCAGGGGAGCGGUGGCAGGUGGGUGGGGGUGGGGGUGGGGGUGGCUUCUGAGCCAGGCCCCUCCGGCUCUGUACUUCUCAGGCCCUCCUGUCUGUUCGCCAGCCUCCUUCCUGCACCUCCUCCAGGGAGGCCCCCAGGCCUGCUGUCUCAGAUUCCCAAAGGAGCUCUGUGGUCAGCACUUCACAGCGACAGGGAGUACCAAGGAGACAGCACCCAUGAGCACUGAGCGCAAGGAGACCACAGGCCCUUGUGAAGUGAGAAGCAGGCCUGCCCCAGUUCCUAAAGCUCUGGAGACAGCCAUCAGGGCCUGCACUCGGGCAAGUGACUUCAAGGAGGUGUGGGACGAUGGGCUCGUCAUGGCUUUAACUGGGGUCAUUUCUGUGAUGGGAGCUGGAAAUUCAAAUUGCCUUAAGCCAGAAAAGAGGCUGUGUGGGGUCAUGCACCAGCGCCAUUCAAAGGAAUUCAGGAAUGGCUGGAUCCAGGAGCUUGGGGGAGGUUCUCAGGCAUCCCUCACACUCCGCACUGGGCUCCCUUUUCCCCAGAGGGGCUUCCCUUUCAGGAGAGCCCCCAUCUCCUGGAGGCCCCCAGAGGCUCCCACAAUGGUCUCAAUGGUCCAAUUCCAAAGUGCUGAUUGCCCCAGGAUUGAGUCGGGUGAUGUGGCUGGGAGGCAGGUGAUGCCAAAAGUGUGUGUCCCACUGUGCCAUGGGGUCUUGUGGGGUGGCCCUGGAGCCGCCCUGAGACUGUCCCAUGUGCCCAGUCCUGCGCCGAGCAGCUGACAUACUCUUCCUCGGUGAAAUGUCACACGAAUGAAGAGGAUGAGGGGCCCGGGCCCAGAGAGCAGAGGUCGCUUGGUGGCUCUGCGAAGCCCCUCCCCCAGCGGGUCUCCUGUUUGUCUGUCGCAGGGACACAAUUCAACCCCAGCCCGUGACCCUCCCCGAGGCUUCUGCAGUAAUUGGAACACUGCAGGGGCACGGGCCGUCCCUGAACCGAGGAGCUGCGCUGGCUCCCGACCUGGCAUCCCCUCUGGGCCCCUAACUCUGUGCCCUGUGUUUCCUGGUGGCUGAGGCUUCCUGGAAAGUGUCCCCAGCCGCCCGGUGACAGGAAUGCUCCCCCAGGAAGGAGGUGUGAUGAACUGGCUGCGUCUCUUGUGUUGCUGGCUGUCACAUUUAACGCAGGCUCCCAGCCUGGCCACUCAGUCACUGUCACGCAGCAUCUCCUUCGGAGAGCACCUGGUUCCUCCCCAGGAAUGAGCCCCACCCCGGGAGACGCCAGCCCCACCCAACCUUGUUCUUCAUCGCCCUUCCAGUCGUGUCUGGGGACAAGGUGGUGUUCCAGCUCUCUGUCCGCCCAAGGCGCAGUUGAGCCUGGCUGAGGGGAGGCUCUCUCAGGAGCCGUCUUCCGGCGCUACCUUGACUGAAAAAGCCAUGUUGAGGCUUGCCCCGUGGCGUAGGGGUUAAAGCCCCCACCUGCAGUGCCGGCAUCACAUACGGGUGCCGGUUCAAGUCCCGGCUGCUCCAUUAACGAUCCAGCUCUCUGCUAUGGCCUGGGAAAGCAGUAGAAGACGGCCCGAGUCCUUGGGCCCCUGCACCCAUGUGGGAGACCCGGAAGAUGCUCCUGGCUCCUGGCUUCGGAUCAGCACAGCUCCAGCUGUGUGACCAACUGAGGAGUGAACCAGCAGAUGGAAGACCUCUCUCUCUCUCCCCUUCUCUCUCUGUGUAACUCUUUCAUAUAAAUAAAUAAAUAUUAAAAAAAAAGAAACUGCCA